UCAAUUAAAUUUCCGGAAGAAGAAUAAAUUUUAUAAGUAAUCAUUUUAAAAUAGGACAGAGUUUUUUAACAAAUUUUAAGCUAGUAAACAAUUAAUCUAAUACUCUGGCGAAAGUUGCUAGCUUUAUUAAAGAGGAAUCUCAUAUGGACUGAAGCAUCGUGCAAAUUUUUGAAAAUUACAUUUGGUAAAUUAAAACCUAGAUUAUUUCAUCUAAAUAAUAUGGCUUAAAGUGCGCAUAAAUAUGGAUGCUGGUUUCAAAUCAUUUGAAUAUUAUGUCUUGUGCAAAAAGCUCUUUAAAAAAAUUACAGAAGUGCAAAUGUACCACAUAUUUCAAGUUAAAAUGAACCCUUCUAGGACUUCUAACAAUUUUAGUAAAUUUUCUCACUAAAUCAAUUAUAAUCUACAUGAAAUGAAUCUAACAUCGCACUCUUUAUCGU